rnacentral:rRNA from 1 species
UACGGAGGGGGUUAGCGUUGUUCGGAAUUACUGGGCGUAAAGCGCGCGUAGGCNGAUUAGAAAGUUGGGGGUGAAAUCCCGGGGCUCAACCUCGGAACUGCCUCCAAAACUGCUAGUCUAGAGUUCGAGAGAGGUGAGUGGAAUUCCGAGUGUAGAGGUGAAAUUCGUAGAUAUUCGGAGGAACACCAGUGGCGAAGGCGGCUCACUGGCUCGAUACUGACGCUGAGGUGCGAAAGUGUGGGGAGCAAACAGG